rnacentral:rRNA from 1 species
AAACUUUCAACAACGGAUCUCUUGGCUCUGGCAUCGAUGAAAAACGCAGCGAAACGCGAUAAGUAAUGUGAAUUGCAGAAUCCAGUGAAUCAUCGAAUCUUUGAACGCACAUUGCGCCCGCCAGCAUUCUGGCGGGCAUGCCUGUUCGAGCGUCAUUU